GCAGGGUGCAGUGCUGAGCAUGUGUAGUCUCAGCCUCUCAGAAGGCUCAAGAGAGAGGAUGUCUUGGGCCCAGGAGUUCUGGGCUGUAGUGCACUCUGCAGGUCAGGUGUCUACACUAAGAUCAGCUUCAGCAUGGUGACCUCCUGGGAGUGGGGAACCACCAGUUUGCCUGAGGAGGGGUGAGCUAGCUCAAGAUGGAAACACAGUGGGUCGCAAUUCCCAUGCUAAUCAGUAGUGGGAUUGUGCCCAUAGUCACUGCACAUCAGCCUGGGCAACAUAACGAGACCCCACAG
ensembl:misc_RNA Metazoa_SRP Metazoan signal recognition particle RNA